GACGUAGGAGGCGAGCGUUGUCCGGAUUCAUUGGGCGUAAAGAGCACGCAGGCGGUUUGGCAAGUCGGAUGUGAAAACCCGGAGCUCAACUCCGGGCGUGCAUCCGAUACUGCCCGACUAGAGGUAGGUAGGGGAGAUCGGAAUUCCUGGUGUAGCGGUGAAAUGCGCAGAUAUCAGGAGGAACACCGGUGGCGAAGGCGGAUCUCUGGGCCUUACCUGACGCUCAGGUGCGAAAGCUAGGGGAGCGAACAGG
rnacentral:rRNA from 1 species